CGAACAAACGGAAGUAUAGGUGAAGGUCUGAGGCAGCACCGCCAAGCUGGGCACCGGGGAGAUGGCCGAGACUGACCCCAAGACCAUGCAGGAUCUCACCUCAGUGGUGCAGACACUCCUGCAACAGAUGCAAGAUAAAUUUCAGACCAUGUCCGACCAGAUCAUUGGAAGAAUUGAUGAUAUGAGCAGUCACAUUGAUGACCUGGAGAAGAACAUAGCAGACCUCAUGAUGCAGGCCGGGGUGGAAGAGCUGGAUGGUGAGAACAAGAUCCCGGCCACACAGAAGAGCUGAAGGUUGCUUGUCUUCGCUGGAAUCUGGAACACCUUUUUACAAGCCAAGAGGAGACAGAUGGCUUUUUCAACUAACUACUAUGUGUAGACAGGUUUUAUAUUAUAAAGUGUGCAUUCUUCUUACCACAUACUAUAGAGUUAGUUUAUGGAGUGACUUCCCUCCCCUGCCCCCCAUGUUUCCUAAACAUGGUGACUUCACAUCUUGGACCUUGGUCAGUUGUGCUAUUAAACAGUAAAACUUUGGCAGUUCCUGCA